rnacentral:rRNA from 1 species
AAUAGAUACCCAGGUAGUCCACGCCGUAAACGAUGAGUGCUAAGUGUUAGAGGGUUUCCGCCCGUUUAGUGCUGCAGCAAACGCAUUAAGCACUCCGCCUGGGGAGUACGGUCGCAAGACUGAAACUCAAAGGAAUUGACGGGGGCCCGCACAAGCGGUGGAGCAUGUGGUUUAAUUCGAAGCAACGCGAAGAACCUUACCAGGUCUUGACAUCCCGUGACAACUCUAGAGAUAGGGCUUUCCCCUUCGGGGGACACGGUGACAGGUGGUGCAUGGUUGUCGUCAGCUCGUGUCGUGAGAUGUUGGGUUAAGUCCCGCAACGAGCGCAACCCUUGAUCUUAGUUGCCAGCAUUCAGUUGGGCACUCUAAGGUGACUGCCGGUGACAAACCGGAGGAAGGUGGGGAUGACGUCAAAUCAUCAUGCCCCUUAUGACCUGGGCUACACACGUGCUACAAUGGAUGGUACAAAGGGCAGCGAAACCGCGAGGUUAAGCCAAUCCCAUAAAACCAUUCUCAGUUCGGAUUGCAGG